UCGAGAACUCGUAUGAAUGUCCAGGUGAUCAUUAUGGAUGCUGCGAAGAACAUAUGCUGGAGUUCGAAAUGGAUCAUUAAGCGGUAUGUUAAAUAUAAAAUAUAAUAUGAUAUGUUUAAAAUCAUGUAAAAUAAAUAAUGAUGUAAGCGAUGAUGUAAUCGCUGAUGUAUUGAUUAUGUAAGCAAUGAUGUAAGCGAUGAUGUAUCGCUGAGGUAAGCGCUUAUGUCAGCGCCUUAAAAACCUCCUAUAAAUAAGUGUGUACCCCUUGUAAGAUUUCAUAACUUGAAAGAUCAUAAAAUUUCAUAAUAGCUUUCUCUCUCUAAAAUGUUUCUCUAACUUCUCUCUAAGUUUUCCAGACUUCCUACUUUCUUCAUAAACCUUGUUUCUUUCUAUUCUAAACACAGUCGCGAUUCUGUAUUGUUCUCUUAAGGUUAGCAUAAGUGGUCCGUCAAUACGACGGUCGAACACGGCAGUCAAUAGUACUCGCCGGGGUUUCACAGUUCCUAAUAGUGGGUUGAGCAACACAGAGGCAAGAGGCCCGAAUCGCUCCCUUUACCUGGAAUAUGAACCCUUGCUUGUAAACACGACUGUCGUCUAGACUUAGUCAACACGACCCUCCGCUCGUGCCGUCUAGAUCAAUUGCCGGAAACAACUCUCCCGUUGGUUAAUCCUUAUGAAUACUUUGCUAAAAAGCCUAGUGCUUUUUCAGUAAAAGGUGUUCGUGAUCUAAUCAAGCCAUCUUCCAGCCGACGAGUAUUGGAGUAUGUGCAAUCCAGCAAGUUUUCAUCAUGUCAAGUUCCAGCUACCGAAGAAGAACAAUUCAUCUCGCUAAAUAUUCCAGAGCAUCUUCCAAGGCUAUGGCAGCAGCAGGGCUACCGGAAACAACUCUCCCGUUGGUUAAUCCUUAUGAAUACUUUGCUAAAAAGCCUAGUGCUUUUUCAGUAAAAGGUGUUCGUGAUCUAAUCAAGCCAUCUUCCAGCCGACGAGUAUUGGAGUAUGUGCAAUCCAGCAAGUUUUCAUCAUGUCAAGUUCCAGCUACCGAAGAAGAGCAAUUCAUCUCGCUAAAUAUUCCAGAGCAUCUUCCAAGGCUAUGGCAGCAGCAGGGCUACACUCACCUACACUUUGGUGUAGUACGAAUCGGUUUAACCUUACACGCACGAAAAGGUUUACCGGUUGUAGCACGGAUUGCUUUGCUUGACUCAAGACUCAAAUCCUAUCAACAAGCUUGCAUCGGAACAGUACAAACAACGCUGAACGCAGGAACAGUAUUCAUAACACUGUUUCCCAAUUUCAAUGUCUCACUACAAGAUCCAAAUCUCCUGAAGGCGCUUAAGGUUCAAUUACAACUAAUCGGAGCACCUAUGCAAGAAGAAAGUGUGGCAGCAACUCUACAUCAUCAGAUCGUAUACAGAAUCCAAGAUCAUGCUCUCGAUCUUGCAUUACCAGCAUCAGAUGAAGCUUUAUACCUUGAAGUCACAUCGGCUUCGCAAGCACCCAACUCUAUUCAAAUCCCGAGACAGAUAUCUCGUGAGGAAUUGCUACGAAAACUGCCAGAGUCAUGGGUAACAAGCUAUGAGAAGAUACAUCAAGCAUCUCAAGCACCGAUUCAGUCAUCUGACGUAAGCUUUCACUCUAGAAGCGACGGAACCACGGAGAUAAAGUUUGAAAAGCCAAGUUCGUCUUUUCAAAAGAAGCUCUUUACUCAAUUCACUAUCCAAAUUGAAGAGCAAGAGUUCUAUGAUCCCGUCAAAAAGAAAGAUUUACAGCCAAUCGCUUUUGGUCAGAACGGAACUGUUGUAUAUCCAUUCAAAGAUGAAAACGGACAUUGUUACUUCGAUGUCUGUUCAUGCACCGCAUGUUUAGAAGAUUCGUAUGAAUCGGAUGAUGAAAAGCGAAGAAGACGGAGAAAAAAGAAGGAUCCACUCUAUAAACGCUACCUUGAAGGAGAUCCUACAGUUGGUCCACUUGGUGAAGGCAACUACGACUUCAUAGUCGAAUAUUCAACAAAGAAGGAAGACGCAACUCAGCAACUCAUGAUGAUAAGAACGGAUUUUCCUCCACCAAAGGACUUUGUCAAAGACAAUGUGCUGCAUACACCAAAAAUCGUUCCAAACAACAUCAACUCCUCUGGACCCGACGAAUUAAGCCAAACAGAAAAGGUUCUCAACUGGCAAACAGAAAAUGCCUUUGUUCAGAAUCAAUUACUGACAUCCAUUAGCCACAAGGUUGAUCAAAUGUCAGAGAACAACAAUAGAAGAUUCAACAGUUUACAAGGAGCCAUAUCAGAGAUUCAACAGAAACUCAGCAACUUGCACCAAGAAAUGAUGGCUAUGGCGAAACAAAUGAAGGUCAAUACAUCUCAGUUCAGAAGUAAAGAAGCUGAACAAACCAAUCUUAAAUAUCAACUCAAAGAUCUUCAGAAAAGCCUAGAAAGUCUAGUCCAGAAUCAGAAGCGAGUUAAUCUGUAUAAUCCUUUUGACUACAUGUCAUCUGGAUUACCCACAUAUCAAGAAUCAUAUUCUCCAGGAUUUCUGUCUGGAUAUCAAGAUCCAAAACCAAAACAGCCUGUACCUGGAUUCUUAUCCUCGGAUGAAGCCUUUACAUCUCGGUUUGGUACAACUUCAAUCAGCAAUUUCAAAACAAAGGUGGCAAGAACUAAACCAAGGCGUACCAAAGAUUCGGAGUUUCACAUCAAUCCAUCCAAGAAGCCAAGCUUCACAUCUUCAUCAAGCCAUGAGUCCGCUCAAGAUGAAAAGAAAGAGGAUGUUGCAAAAGAAGAAGAAAUUGCGAUGAUCGAGUUUUCGAUGUCUAGUUUACUAGACAAUCUCGUAAAAGCAUCUGAUGAUGAAAGACAAGAAUUGCAAGUUCAAUCAAAAGAGCAGCAGUCAGUACCAAUUGUUACAAUGACUCACAUCUCAGCUCUUUCAGAUUCAACCUCUUCCGUCGAUGAAUCAGAAACAGAUGAAUCUCUUCCAAAUCAGUUUGCAAUCGGAGACGAGUCACAUAUUCCAAAAGAAGAGCCAAUCUAUGAAGAAAUUUCAAGUGACGAAGAGAUGAGCUAUGAAGCUCAAGGUGUACCAAAGAAACAAUUUGCAUCAAAGAUAAUGGUGUUCACAUUCGAUGACAUUCCUUUUGAAAAAUGGAAUAGUCGUCUUGACGAAUUUCAUGCAUGGAUGACCUCCGAAGCAAUCACUUCCCCAACAGAAGUGGUGAUACAACAAUUCACAUCAAGACUGUCAGGCGCAUUAAAAGAAUGGUGGAAUUCGCUUGGAGAAUAUCGGCAGCAGCAGGUGUAUCAGACAACGAUACCUCUACUUCUUGGCGAGAUACAUAGAGAAUUCGUUGGCACCCCAAACCAUUUGAAAGAACAACUACAAGAAGAAUUCUACACAGCGAAAUGUUGUUCAUUGAAGAAGAGAGAUUUAGCAAAGCAUUUCGAGCGACAAACUCGAAGGUAUUAUGCUCUCAAUGGUCUAAACAAUCCAAGCCUGAAGCAGGUGUAUCUCUCAUCCAUCGACGACUACCUAAGUCAACAAACAAAGCUGUAUAUCAGAGAUCAAGGGCAGAUAAUCGAAGAAAUCUCGAUUGGACAAAUACAGCAGCAGGUGUUCAGGACUCUUGACAAGCUUUGCAAGCAAAAAGAAUUUUGGUCAGAAUUCAUGGACAAGUCAAAGCAUCUUUCGAAGAUAUGUGCUCGCCCAGAUCUGAACAUCAAAUGUUCGAAAAAGAAAAAAUGUUCAUGUGAAGAUCGACGAAAAGUUCGAAGAGGAUCCAAGAAAUCAUUCUUGAAGUCGAAAUAUUUCAACAAGAUCAAACGCAAGCGGUUCUUUAGGAAAAAGAAAAGCUUCGAGAAAACUUCAAGAUGUUUUCUAUGCAGAAAAACGGGGCAUUUUGCAAAAGACUGUCCAAACAAGUCUAAAAAGAAGAAGCAGUAUCUCAUUCAUUCGAUAUCCAAGAUAGCUCCAGAUCUUGAUAUUGAUAACCACGAUCUCGAGUCAAUACUAUCUUAUGAUAGUGACGAGAAUGAUGCUAUAUGCAGUUAUUCGGAUUAUGACGAAUCUUCAGAAUCCUCAUCCGAAGAUGACAAAGACGAUGAUUGUUGUUACAAGAUUACCCAGAUCCCUCAGAAAGAUGAACUUCAGACGCCACAUCUACCAGUAACCAUCUUUGAUCCUUCCAAACGAGAAAAGCCAGUGCAUGCAAUCGCAUUCUUCGACACAGGAGCUCAUACAACAAUCAUAAAUCCAAAGAUUCUCUCACGAGCCAUGUGGAUGCCUCAUCAACAAGAUUUCAGAGUCGCGAAUGCAGGAUCUCUGACGGUCAAGCUAAAAUCAAAACCAAUCACGAUCAAGCUUUUCCCAGGAUGUCAAGUUACCAAGGAAGUACUAGGUUCAUCUGCACCUGGAAAAGACUUAAUCCUUGGGUGGGAUACUUAUUCGCUACUGAAGAAGAAGUUCGGUAUUUCUCUAGAACCAAGAGGCGUGAGAUGGAAAAACCUCUACAAAGCUUUUACCACGAUGCAUCGCCUAUUCUCAAUCGAAGACUCAAUAUCUGCAGAAUUCAACAAAAUUGAAGAAGAACUAAAGAUGGCAUCAUGUGCAGAUUCACACACGGAGUUCCUUCAAAAGUGUAAUCACCCGCUAUGGUUAAACUCAAGCUUCUUCGUAUCCCUACCAUUCAAAGAAGAUGUUCAUACAACACCAACAAAAGCAAGCCAUGCAGGAAUGCCUCCAACACUGUUGCAAAAGGCAAAUGAGGAAUGCAAUCAAUUGAUGGAUCAAGGUAUCAUAUCAAGAACAAACUCUCCAUGGGCAUGCAAAGCGUUCUACGUUAAUAAUCGUGCAGAACAAGCAAGAGGAAAACUCAGAUUAGUUAUCGACUACAAGCCGUUGAACCAAUAUCUGCAAGAUGUCAAGUUUCCACUACCAAAUAAAAGAGCGCUUCUCCAACAUCUCCAAGGUGCAAAAUUAUUUUCGAAGUUUGAUCUAAAGUCAGGAUUUUGGCAACUCGGUGUUCAUCCUGAAGAAAGAUACAAGACUGCGUUUUGUCUUCCAAAUAGACACCUUCAAUGGAAUGUCUUACCGUUCGGUCUCAAGACGGCGCCAUCGCUAUUUCAGCAAGCAAUGUUACGUAUAUUCGAGCCGUUGUUACACACAGCCCUUAUAUACAUUGAUGACAUACUAAUCUUCUCGAAGAACGAAAAAGAGCAUAUUCAGGCGCUACAACAGUUUCAAGACAUCGUCAAGAAAAGCGGAAUCAUGCUAUCAGCCAGAAAAAUGAUAAUAGCCCAGCCCAACAUUGAUUUUCUUGGCAUGCAUAUCAAAGAAGGAAGUUUCACACCACAGGCCCAUUUAGCUACAGAACUUCUAGAUUUUCCCGAUGAAAAUCUCACAAGGCGACAAAUUCAACAAUUUCUUGGGGUAAUCAAUUAUGUGGGAGACUUCAUUCCACACCUUUCCAGAAUGACAAGACCUCUACAGAAGAUGUUGUCGAAAAACCCUCCUUUGUGGGCAUCACGACAAACUGAAGCUAUCAAAAGUCUAAAAGCAGAAGUGCAAAAGCUACCUCCUUUAAAGAUUCCCUCAUCAGGCAUGCGUAUUCUACAGACAGACGCUAGCGAUAAGUAUUGGGGAGCAAUACUGUUUGAAGAGAUGGAUGGGAAAAGACAAAUCUGUGGAUACAAGAGUGGUCGAACUAUGGAGUAAACUGUCAUCACAUUGUUCCAAUGGGAAUUCAUCCUGACUAUCCGUUUGCUCAUCUUUACAGGAUCGAAAAUUCAAAUAUGCCAGAAGAAGUCCUCUGUUUCCUCUGGUAUCUCUGUGCAGUCUACACUGUAGGAAUUGCUUUCGACAUCCAAUGGCUGUACCACUACGUCAACACUGUUCAAGACAAAAGAGACAGCUUCUCAACGUUCCUAAGGUGGUUUUCACCAUUGACUGUCUGGAGUGGAAAACUACGAAGAUCCGCAAAUGCGACGAAUCUAACAUUCAAGAAGUUGAAGAAAGGUGGACUCAACCCAUUCUUCAAUCCACAUUCAAUCUACUUCUUUCAUCGUCCCGUUAAGGUCAACCGCAAAACAAGCAAAAUCCUCGCUCUUCCAACUCUCAUUCAUCACGGUGAUUUUUCAAGAGGAGUUCGUCCAGAUUUCAACCUUCAAGACAACGAAGCAUACGAGAACUUUCAAACUCAUGCAUUUCACCUCAACAAUGCAAGACAAACAUUCCCCAUUCCGUUCAUACCUAACUGGGUUUAUUAUCCAGUCGACUAUCAGAUGCAACUUGAUGAAGAUUUACAGUAUCACAUGAUGAAGUUCAACAAAGGAAGACCAAGCAGUCCAAAAGAAGAUAAACAAGAAGAGACAAACCCCCAGGUGACUUCUCAAGAUUACUGUGCCGAUUACUUCAAUGAUGCUCAAUCCCCAGAUGAUGAAGUAAAUGUUGAAGAAAUCGAAAAGAAGUUCCAAUUCUACAUAAAUGUUCAACCAGGAGAAGAUGCACAAAUGAUCGAAAACUCGUAUGAAUGUCCAGGAGAUCAUUAUGGUUGCUGCGAAGAACAUAUCCUGGAGUUCGAAAUGGAUCAUUAAGUGGUAUGUUAAAUAUAAAAUAUAAUAUGAUAUGUUUAAAAUCAUGUAAAAUAAAUAAUGAUGUAAGCGAUGAUGUAAUCGCUGAUGUAUUGAUUAUGUAAGCAAUGAUGUAAGCGAUGAUGUAUCGCUGAGGUAAGCGCUUAUGUCAGCGCCUUAAAAACCUCCUAUAAAUAAGUGUGUACCCCUUGUAAGAUUUCAUAACUUGAAAUAUCAUAAAAUUUCAUAAUAGCUUUCUCUCUCUAAAAUGUUUCUCUAACUUCUCUCUAAGUUUUCCAGACUUCCUACUUUCUUCAUAAACCUUGUUUCUUUCUAUUCUAAACACAGUCGCGAUUCUGUAUUGUUCUCUUAAGGUUAGCAUAAGUGGUCCGUCAAUACGACGGUCGAACACGGCAGUCAAUAGUACUCGCUGGGGUUUCACAGUUCCUAAUAGUGGGUUGAGCAACACAGAGGCAAAGAGGUCUGAGUUUUCCUCUUGCUUGUUCUGCACGAUUAUUAACGUAGAACGCUUUACAUGCCCAUGGAGAAUUUGUUCUUGAUAUGAUACCUUGAUCCAUCAAUUGAUUGCAUUCCUCGAAUAUUCAACAAAGAAGGAAGACGCAACUCAGCAACUGAUUGAGAGUUUGUUUUCCAGAACAUUCAAAACGAUCAGUCUCUCUAAGUUUUCCAGACUUCCUACUUUCUUCAUAAACCUUGUUUCUUUCUAUUCUAAACACAGUCGCGAUUCUGUAUUGUUCUCUUAAGGUUAGCAUAAGUGGUCCGUCAAUACGACGGUCGAACACGGCAGUCAAUAGUACUCGCCGGGGUUCACAGUUCCUAAUAGUAGGUUGAGCAACACAGAGGCAAAGAGGCCCGAAUCGCUCCCUUUACCUGGAAAGUGAACCCUUGCUUGUAAACACGACUGUCGUUUAGACUUAGUCAACACGUAUAUUCGAGCCGUUGUUACACACAGCCCUUAUAUACAUUGAUGACAUACUCAUCUUCUCGAAGA
rnacentral:lncRNA from 1 species